CCCACCAAGGCAACGAUCAGUAGGGGUUCUGAGAGGAAGGUCCCCCACAUUGGAACUGAGACACGGUCCAAACUCCUACGGGAGGCAGCAGUGAGGAAUAUUGGUCAAUGGACGAGAGUCUGAACCAGCCAAGUAGCGUGCAGGAAGACGGCCCUAUGGGUUGUAAACUGCUUUUAUAAGGGAAUAAAGUGAGAGUCGUGACUCUUUUUGCAUGUACCUUAUGAAUAAGGACCGGCUAAUUCCGUGCCAGCAGCCGCGGUAAUACGGAAGGUCCGGGCGUUAUCCGGAUUUAUUGGGUUUAAAGGGAGCGUAGGCCGGAGAUUAAGCGUGUUGUGAAAUGUAGACGCUCAACGUCUGCACUGCAGCGCGAACUGGUUUCCUUGAGUACGCACAAAGUGGGCGGAAUUCGUGGUGUAGCGGUGAAAUGCUUAGAUAUCACGAAGAACUCCGAUUGCGAAGGCAGCUCACUGGAGCGCAACUGACGCUGGAGCUCGAAAGUGCGGGUAUCGAACAGGAUUAGAUACCCUGGUAGUCCGCACGGUAAACGAUGGAUGCCCGCUGUUGGUCUGAAUAGGUCAGCGGCCAAGCGAAAGCAUUAAGCAUCCCACCUGGGGAGUACGCCGGCAACGGUGAAACUCAAAGGAAUUGACGGGGGCCCGCACAAGCGGAGGAACAUGUGGUUUAAUUCGAUGAUACGCGAGGAACCUUACCCGGGCUCGAAUUGCAGAGGAAGGAUUUGGAGACAAUGACGCCCUUCGGGGCCUCUGUGAAGGUGCUGCAUGGUUGUCGUCAGCUCGUGCCGUGAGGUGUCGGCUUAAGUGCCAUAACGAGCGCAACCCCUCUCCUUAGUUGCCAUCAGGUUAAGCUGGGCACUCUGGGGACACUGCCACCGUAAGGUGUGAGGAAGGUGGGGAUGACGUCAAAUCAGCACGGCCCUUACGUCCGGGGCUACACACGUGUUACAAUGGCAGGUACAGAGAGACGGUCCCUUGCAAAACGGAUCAAAUCCUUAAAGCCUGUCUCAGUUCGGACUGGGGUCUGCAACCCGACCCCACGAAGCUGGAUUCGCUAGUAAUCGCGCAUCAGCCAUGGCGCGGUGAAUACGUUCCCGGGCCUUGUACACACCGCCCGUCAAGCCAUGAAAGCCGGGGGCGCCUAAAGUCCGUGACCGUAAGGAGCGGCCUAGGGCGAAACUGGUAAUUGGGGCUAAGUCGUAACAAGGUA
rnacentral:rRNA from 1 species